rnacentral:tRNA from 1 species
GCCCGUGUGGUGUAGUGGUUUGAGUGUUGGACUACAGCUCUGGAGACUAGGGUUCAAAUCCCUGCUCAGCCA